GGGGUUGAAACAAGUGUUAAAUCAGUCCCUGCGAGGGUAAUACCCAUAGAGUAUAAGUUCAUGUUGAGGAGGGAAAACUGCUGGCUACCUAGAAGAAAAUGAGACCUACUUCUUUUUUGUUUGUUUUAAACAUGUAUUUGUUCUUGGUGCUGAGAGGAAAAGAUGAGGAAGGAGAAUAUGGGGUGAAAGGCCACUUUCUUUUAGGCCAUGGAAAGUGUUCUCCAGUGAGAGUUCUAGAAGGAUACCACCUGGGGACGUUUAACCCCUUCAUUUUGAUAACUCCUGCUGUUGCCCUAUAGGCAGUAUUAUUACACAGAAAAACAAGUUGAUUUUUAUUUUAAAUACGGAAGUUUCUGGGGGAAUAGGGAGCAGGCCAUUAAGUCUCCAUGUUUAGUAAUCUACCGAAAGAAAAGAGACCGCCGGGAAUCUUGGUCUGUACAGUGGUUCCUUGUUUACAUGGGGCUACUUCUGCUGCAAAUAUUAGUAAACAUUAUUUAGGUCUAAAUAGUUUCCCUUUAUACAGCACCUACUAUGCCUCUGCCAAAGUGUUUGUGUAAUGAAUAUAUCUGUGCAGUGAAUCAAUUAAUUUAGGAGUGGUGAUUUAUGAAGAAGUAGAAUAAAUGUACUUGCAUAAGUGUUUUUUCUGUGCCUCCUUUGAUUUUCCUUCGUACUUAGGAUUCAUC
rnacentral:lncRNA from 1 species